rnacentral:rRNA from 1 species
UACGUAGGGCGCAAGCGUUGUCCGGAAUUAUUGGGCGUAAAGAGCUCGUAGGCGGUCUGUCGCGUCCGUUGUGAAAACUCGAGGCUCAACCUCGGGCUUGCAGUGGAUACGGGCAGACUAGAGUGCGGUAGGGGAGACUGGAAUUCCUGGUGUAGCGGUGGAAUGCGCAGAUAUCAGGAGGAACACCGAUGGCGAAGGCAGGUCUCGUGGGCCGCAACUGACGCUGAGGAGCGAAAGCAUGGGGAGCGAACAGG